CACGGGAGCGUUCGUUUAGCCAUCACGUGAUUCUCGUGUCUGCUCCGGUGUCAUACACCAGUACCCGAGCUGGCGAGCGGGUCUCUGGUGGAAGUCACGGUGUAAUGACGUAACGGGCUAGCCCGACUUCGCAAAAAUUAAACAGGGCGGGCAGAAUUCGCCGCGACAUUCAGUGUAAGAAACUUGUUUUAUGAAACAUCAUGAAGAGCUGCUUCAGGAUAACAACCACGUCGUCUGCUACCACACAUGAAUGAUGGGAUGGUGAACCAUGACAACUGAUCAAAAUAAUGGCAAGAUUUCAAGAGACAUCUCGUCUAUUGGAGGUGUUCAAGGAAACGAAGCCCUCACCGGUGAAAAAGAAAGCGGUCAAGAGUCAAAAGAGGUCCAGCCUGUUACUCCUGUUGAGUUGAGUCAUUAAGUCAAGAAGGUCGAGUUGAGUCAAAUUCAUGUUCGAGUCAAUUUGAUUUUCUGAAAUUUCAACACCUUAUAAUAAAUGUAUAAAUAAUUGUUGACUGGAAGAACAUACACAAGACACCCAUUUAUUAUGAAGAUCCAAAGACGUGAGUCCCAUCCAUGUCAAUACAAUGUAUGUGCAUUUUUUCUCCUAAGCCCUCGAACACACAAUACAAUGUUUGUUCAGAUAUUUUGUAAAUAAUGUGUUCAUAUAUUAAAGAAGUAUUUAUUUGUCGGCUAU